rnacentral:misc_RNA from 1 species
AGCACUCUCAAUCCUAAGCAAAAGCAAGCUCUUGCAAGGCAGUUAAAUCUACGACCAAGACAAGUUGAAGUGUGGUUCCAAAACAGGAGAGCCAGGACAAAGCUGAAGCAAACUGAAGUGGACUGCGAGUUCUUGAAGAAGUGUUGCGAGACACUAACAGAUGAAAAUAGGAGGCUUCAGAAGGAGCUUCAAGAACUGAAAGCUCUGAAAUUGGCACAACCCUUUUACAUGCACAUGCCAGCAGCUACUCU